AUGUACCACUCGUACUGCGUUCCUCCGCGCCGUCCACGCCUACCUGACGGCCGCUCGCUACGUUUUGUCAGCC
rnacentral:sRNA from 12 species